rnacentral:rRNA from 1 species
CCUACGGGGGCAGCAGUGGGGAAUAUUGGACAAUGGGCGAAAGCCUGAUCCAGCCAUGCCGCGUGUGUGAAGAAGGCCUUCGGGUUGUAAAGCACUUUCAGUGGGGAAGAAAGCCUUGGGGCUAAUACCCUCGAGGAAGGACAUCACCCACAGAAGAAGCACCGGCUAACUCCGUGCCAGCAGCCGCGGUAAUACGGAGGGUGGCGAGCGUUAAUCGGAAUUACUGGGCGUAAAGCGCGCGUAGGCGGUCUGAUAAGCCGGUUGUGAAAGCCCCGGGCUCAACCUGGGAACGGCAUCCGGAACUGUCAGGCUAGAGUGCAGGAGAGGAAGGUAGAAUUCCCGGUGUAGCGGUGAAAUGCGUAGAGAUCGGGAGGAAUACCAGUGGCGAAGGCGGCCUUCUGGACUGACACUGACGCUGAGGUGCGAAAGCGUGGGUAGCAAACAGGAUUAGAUACCCCGGUAGUC